rnacentral:rRNA from 1 species
AGCGAACGCUGGCGGCAGGCUUAACACAUGCAAGUCGAACGCCCGUAGCAGUACGGGAGUGGCAGACGGGUGAGUAACGCGUGGGAACAUGCCCUUUGGUUCGGAAUAACUCAGGGAAACUGGAGCUAAUACCGGAUAAGCACGAGAGGGGAAAGAUUUAUCGCCGAAGGAUUGGCCCGCGUCCGAUUAGCUAGUUGGUGAGGUAAUGGCUCACCAAGGCGACGAUCGGUAGCUGGUCUGAGAGGAUGAUCAGCCACACUGGGACUGAGACACGGCCCAGACUCCUACGAGAGGCAGCAGUGGGGAAUAUUGGACAAUGGGGGCAACCCUGAUCCAGCCAUGCCGCGUGAGUGAUGAAGGCCCUAGGGUUGUAAAGCUCUUUCGGCGGGGACGAUAAUGACGGUACCCGCAGAAGAAGCCCCGGCUAACUUCGUGCCAGUCGCCGCUGUAAGAC